ACGAUGAUGCCCAGCUUGCUGGGUGGAUUAGUGGCGAACGGGUGAGUAACACGUGAGUAACCUGCCCCUGACUCUGGGAUAAGCGUUGGAAACGACGUCUAAUACUGGAUAUGACUGCCGGCCGCAUGGUCUGGUGGUGGAAAGAUUUUUUGGUUGGGGAUGGACUCGCGGCCUAUCAGCUUGUUGGUGAGGUAAUGGCUCACCAAGGCGACGACGGGUAGCCGGCCUGAGAGGGUGACCGGCCACACUGGGACUGAGACACGGCCCAGACUCCUACGGGAGGCAGCAGUGGGGAAUAUUGCACAAUGGGCGAAAGCCUGAUGCAGCAACGCCGCGUGAGGGAUGACGGCCUUCGGGUUGUAAACCUCUUUUAGUAGGGAAGAAGCGAAAGUGACGGUACCUGCAGAAAAAGCACCGGCUAACUACGUGCCAGCAGCCGCGGUAAUACGUAGGGUGCAAGCGUUGUCCGGAAUUAUUGGGCGUAAAGAGCUCGUAGGCGGUUUGUCGCGUCUGCUGUGAAAUCCCGAGGCUCAACCUCGGGCUUGCAGUGGUACGGGCAGACUAGAGUGCGGUAGGGAGAUUGGAAUUCCUGGUGUAGCGGUGGAUGCGCAGAUAUCAGAGACACCGAUGGCGAAGGCAGAUCUCUGGCCGUACUGACGCUGAG
rnacentral:rRNA from 1 species